rfam:Otolemur garnettii contig021615, whole genome shotgun sequence.
UUAAAAAGGAGAGAAUGAAACCUACAUUUGGUAGGAACAUCUGAGAGUGCUGAUGAAUGCCAACAGCUUGGACGGAAAAAA